AGAGUUUGAUCCUGGCUCAGAUUGAACGCUGGCGGCAUGCCUAACACAUGCAAGUCGAACGGUAACAGGCCGCAAGGUGCUGACGAGUGGCGGACGGGUGAGUAAUACGUAGGUAUCUGCCCUGUAGUGGGGGAUAACCCGGGGAAACUCGGGCUAAUACCGCAUACGCUCUUUUAUCGUUGAGAUAGGAGAGGAAAGCGAGGGACCGAAAGGCCUCGCGCUAGAGGAUGAGCCUACGCCCGAUUAGCUAGUUGGUAGGGUAAAGGCCUACCAAGGCGACGAUCGGUAGCUGGUCUGAGAGGAUGGCCAGCCACACUGGGACUGAGACACGGCCCAGACUCCUACGGGAGGCAGCAGUGGGGAAUAUUGGACAAUGGGGGAAACCCUGAUCCAGCGAUGCCGCGUGGGUGAAGAAGGCCUGCGGGUUGUAAAGCCCUUUCAGUGGGGAAGAAAAACGGGGUGUGAAAAGCGCUUCGUCUUGACGUUACCCACAGAAGAAGCACCGGCUAACUCCGUGCCAGCAGCCGCGGUAAUACGGAGGGUGCGAGCGUUAAUCGGAAUUACUGGGCGUAAAGGGCGCGUAGGCGGUUAGGUAAGUCGAGUGUGAAAGCCCUGGGCUUAACCUGGGAAUGGCAUUCGAGACCACCUAUCUAGAGUCUGGUAGAGGGAAGUGGAAUUUCCGGUGUAGCGGUGAAAUGUGUAGAUAUCGGAAGGAACACCAGUGGCGAAGGCGACUUCCUGGACCAAGACUGACGCUGAGGCGCGAAAGCGUGGGGAUCAAACAGGAUUAGAUACCCUUGUAGUCC
rnacentral:rRNA from 1 species